rnacentral:rRNA from 1 species
GAUGAACGCUGGCGGCGUGCCUAAUACAUGCAAGUCGAGCGAACAGACGAGGAGCUUGCUCCUCUGACGUUAGCGGCGGACGGGUGAGUAACACGUGGAUAACCUACCUAUAAGACUGGGAUAACUUCGGGAAACCGGAGCUAAUACCGGAUAAUAUAUUGAACCGCAUGGUUCAAUAGUGAAAGACGGUUUUGCUGUCACUUAUAGCUGGAUCCGCGCCGCAUUAGCUAGUUGGUAAGGUAACGGCUUACCAAGGCAACGAUGCGUAGCCGACCUGAGAGGGUGAUCGGCCACACUGGAACUGAGACACGGUCCAGACUCCUACGGGAGGCAGCAGUAGGGAAUCUGCCGCAAUGGGCGAAAGCCUGACGGAGCAACGCCGCGUGAGUGAUGAAGGUCUUCGGAUCGUAAAACUCUGUUAUUAGGGAAGAACAAAUGUGUAAGUAACUAUGCACGUCUUGACGGUACCUAAUCAGAAAGCCACGGCUAACUACGUG